GGCUCAGGAUGAACGCUAGCGGGAGGCUUAACACAUGCAAGUCGAGGGGCAGCACUGGGUAGCAAUACCCUGGUGGCGACCGGCGCACGGGUGAGUAACGCGUAUGUAACCUACCCUGUACAGGGGGAUAGCCCGGAGAAAUUCGGAUUAAUACCCCAUAAAGAUAUUUUGAGGCAUCUUGAGAUAUUUAAAGUUUCGGCGGUACGGGAUGGGCAUGCGUAACAUUAGCUAGUUGGUAGGGUAACGGCCUACCAAGGCUACGAUGUUUAGGGGUCCUGAGAGGGUGAUCCCCCACACUGGUACUGAGACACGGACCAGACUCCUACGGGAGGCAGCAGUGAGGAAUAUUGGUCAAUGGGCGCAAGCCUGAACCAGCCAUCCCGCGUGCAGGAAGACGGCGCUAUGCGUUGUAAACUGCUUUUCCAGGGGGCGAAUAGCUUCGACGUGUCGGGGUAUGACGGUACCCUGGGAAUAAGCAUCGGCUAACUCCGUGCCAGCAGCCGCGGUAAUACGGAGGAUGCGAGCGUUAUCCGGAUUUAUUGGGUUUAAAGGGUGCGUAGGCGGGAAGAUAAGUCAGUGGUGAAAACCUGCAGCUUAACUGUGGAACUGCCAUUGAUACUGUUAUUCUUGAGUGUGGUCAAGGUAGGCGGAAUGUGUAAUGUAGCGGUGAAAUGCUUAGAUAUUACACAGAACACCGAUUGCGAAGGCAGCUUACUGGACCAUUACUGACGCUGAUGCACGAAAGCGUGGGGAGCGAACAGGAUUAGAUACCCUGGUAGUCCACGCCGUAAACGAUGAUCACUCGCUGUUAGCGAUACACUGUUAGCGGCUAAGCAAAAGCAUUAAGUGAUCCACCUGGGGAGUACGGGCGCAAGGCUGAAACUC
rnacentral:rRNA from 1 species